ACAAGUCGGCACACUACCAAAACCAAUCAAUAUUUUCAUUUUUAAGACAAAACCAAAGUUAUUUAACAAUAAACCUGCAUAAGGAGCUUAAAUCAAAACAACAGUGCAGAAAGAAAGCCCGACAUCGGGGUGUCACUAGUCAUGAGCAUCUACUACAACCGUUUGACAACAUCAAGACUAACAUAGCCUGGAAAUAACUGAAUACAACUAAGGGAGGAUAAGGAGGGAGAAAAGCAGGCUUGCGAUCGCCAAGAGCUACCUUACUAACUCCGAUGGACUUGUUACUAAGUAAUCAACACCCGCUACCGGGUUUAGAAAUACCUGGAUAUGCACACAAGGUGUAGGGAGUAAUGUGAGUAUGUCAACUCAAUAAGUAAUAAAAGUAAAUAGAGACUGAGUAGUAGUGAUGAGCAAUAAAACAUAUACAGUUCAUAUCAUGAAAUCUCAGUAAAAUAUAGCAGGCUUUUAAAAUCAGGGUUUUGAAUCAACUAAGUUCAUUUAAAUCUAGUUUCAGUAAAACCAUUUAAAACAUCUUUUAACAGUUUUCAACGAAGUGAUGAAACGGUGAGUAAAAAUGAUGAAAACAAAAAUAGCCCCGCAGAAAAAAAAACUCAUAUACAGCCCCUCGGGCAACAUAAAUCAAGAACAGCCCCUCAGCGAACAUCACUCGUGAACAGCCCCUCGGGCAAACAUGAAUCAUAAACAGCCCAUCGGCCAUUACCUCACAAUCGCUCGUAAACAGCCCCUCGGGCAUAAUAUGAAUCAAGAACAACCCCUCGAGCAAAACAUCAUAUCACUCACUUAUGGUACACGCGCUCACUGGAGGUGUACAGACCCCGGAGGGGCUCCUACAGCCCAAGCGCUAUAACAAGCCACCUUAUGGUAUAAAUCAAUCAGGCCCCCGGCCUUCUAACAAGCCACCUCAUGGCAUAAAUCAAUCAGGCUCGUGGCCUCACAAAAAUCAUGAAUCAACAACAACAUGAUGCGGCGUGCAGCUCGAUCCCAUAAUAUCCUCACAACACAGGUCCUCGGCCUCACUCAGUCAGAAACCUCUCAAGCCACUCGAUCUGUUAGUAAAACAGGGUGCUCGGCCCAAAAAUAUCAUUUUAUGCAUCAGAACGGAGUAAUAAAGACUGAAUAAUGAAAUCAGUAAACAUAGCAUGACUGAGUAUAGAUCUUAAAUCAAAUACAUCUUCGUUUUUGGCAUUUGAUUGAUGAUUUCAAAGUGAAAUUUGGGUUUUUUGGUCUAAAGUUAAAGUGAUUUUUUAGUUUUGAACAUCGAUUCGGAGUCGGAAUAAGAUGAAACUAGUAUGGUUGGACUCAUAAUUGAAUAAAUUGUCUACUUUUUUGAGUUUUGUCGGGUUCCGAGAUGGGGGCCCAGGUUGGGCUUUUUGGCUGAUUUUGGGCUUUUGAUUAAAUAUUCGACCUUUUCCAAUUGUGAUUGGUUACUUUAGCAUUGUUUGAUGUAUUUUAGUUUUUUUGGUUAGUUUCGAGUCGUUCAGAGGUCGAAACGCGCAAGAUGGCAUUUUUGGAGAAUCACUUGGCUUGCUCGGUAUUGGAAUUGGCUAGUUUGAGGUAAGUAAUGAUUGUAAAUCGACUCCAAAAUCGCCUAAAUCCAAUCUCCCCAACUCAAAAUAUGACCAAAUAAACAAACCCUUGUUUUAUAUAUUUUUCUGCCAGUUAUGCUGCCUCGAUUCUCAUGCCAACGAACCUGAAAUUCACUUUUGAUGCCUCCAAUGGAUUCCAUGUAACAUUUUAGUCAAGUUAGGCUCUUGAAUCACUCCAUUUGACUUUAUAUUGAAGGAGAUGUGUUGCUUUCAAUAUUUGAAAAUAGGCAGAUUUUUAAAAACGAAUUCAGUGGCAAUUUCGUAAUUAAUCUGGAAAAUCUCACAACUCAAUUCUUAGUAAAAUGACCCUAAAAUCCUUAUACGAUGUUCAAAUUCGAUUAUUCUUUUUGCUAUGGCUCCAUAAUUAUGAUACGGAUCUAAUGCUUCAAUAAAACAUUAAUCGGAGCUUAUUUGCUUAAUAUAGUACCAUUUAUCCUUGAAAAACGACGUUGACACAUAAAAAACGAGCGUAACACAACCCAAACCUAUAUGAAACUCACACGAGCCCCUUGGGACCCUAUUCGAACAUACCAAAAAGUCUCAUAUCAUAAUACGGACCUGUUUGACGCCUCAAAACACAAAUAACAACAUCGAAACGACGAACCACACCUCAAUUCGAAAUCAAUGAACUUGAAACUUCCACAACCGAUGUCGAAACCUAUCAAAUCACGUCCGAUUGACCUAAAAUUUUAUGCACAAGUCACAUUUGACAUUAUGGACCGUCUCCAACUUCCAGAGUCGAAAUCUGAUCACGAUAUGAAAAAUCCACUCUCGGUCAAACUUUUCAAAAUUCCAACUUUCGCUAUUUCAAGCCAAAUUCUAUUAUAGACCUCCAAAUCACAAUCAGAACGCGCUCCUGAGUCCAAAAUCACCCAACAGAGCUAACGGGACCAUCAUAAAUCCAAUCUGAUUCACAUAAGUCAUAAUACUUCCUACGGAGCUACUCAUGCCCUCAAACAAUCGAGCGAAGUGCAAUUGCUCAAAUGAUCGAUCGGGUCUAAACAUACGUUCGUCCUCGAAUGUGUCCAUAGUUGGUCCAAAAGCCAUCAACUUACUGUAUAAUCACACUAUGCACAUACCUGGGGGUGAUCCCACGUCACCGUAUCCCAUAUAGGUCUGAUAACACAAUAUGACUAAAAUUUCUUAAUCCAACCUAGUCCAUAAAUCUUAGGGCCCAAUUUCCAACAUCCGGAAUUUUCUAUAAGAUGAGAACCUCGCAUCUACACACUGUAUAAUUUCGAACAAGUUGUAUCAAACAUAUCCGUAACCCAAGAUGUAAUCACAUGAUAUACCACAUAACUCAAACACUCAUGGCGAUAACUCCUAAUCACAGUAGCUGCUCAAAACAACCCAAUACCUGUAAUACACCUCUUAACAACCAAAGCCUCGUUCUAACACUUUCAUAUAUUGUCAAUGAUGAAAGAAACACGUAGAAACUCAUAACCAUUCGUCAGAUCAACAAGUCAUGGAGGUCACUCUUCUCUGAUAGGAACUAUAGCAGAUUUCUAAGUCGACUUUGUCACACCUCCUUUUUACAUCCGGGAGGGGAUAUAAAGGAGUUUUUCCAAUUGAAGUGACAUUAUUCGAAAUGGGAUUAUUUAUUUAAUUUUCAGAGUCACCACUUGGAAUAAUUUAUAGUGUCUCAAGUCACCGGUUUAUUUUAAAUCCCAAAUCGAGGAAAUUUCGACUUUAUUUUAAAAGUUUGCGAACCAAAAAUUCUAAGUAAGGAAUUCUGUUAACCCGGGAGAAGGUGUUAGGCAUUCCCAAGUUCCGUGGUUCUAGCACGGUUGCUUAGCGAUUUGUACUUAGCUUAAGUCGUUUAACUACACAUUUUUAGGACCUAUGUGCAUUUUAUAUUUUUACCGCUUUUAAUCACUUAAUUUGUUCGUAAUGAAAGAAUUGAGUUACGCGUACGUAUAGUCAUUUCCUUUGGCGCGUCAAAAAUCAUGUCACGCGUACGUAUCCACAAUUAAUCACGUUUUAUUAAUUAUUAAGAAAAUUGGGUUGAAGUUGUGCGAACGCAUCCCUCAAUUUAUUUUUUAGAACUAAAUUCGUAAUUAUGUUACGCGAACGUAUACAUAAUCACAAUAAUAAUCUAAGUCGUGCUUAAAGCAAACUAACGGAGUUCAUUAUUCUUCCUAAAUUUUGAGAUUAUUGUGAGGCUUAAGAGUUAUACAUCCUUCUGACUUAGCACCACGCAUGGCCUAUUAUUAUUCCUUGCCAAGAAUGAAACAACUCCAAAUUUAUCAUCUACCCAAAUUAAAAGCAUUUAUUCGAGAACCAAGAUUACGUAUAUCACAAUCAAAAUAAAAACUAAUUAAAAUAAUUUAAUUGCAAACUAAGUCAUGCCACUCAAACAACGUAGAAACAAAAAUCAACCAACACACACACCAAGCUAUUGUAAUAAAAGGAAAUGAGAAUGAAAAUUGAGAAAUAGACCUUUUAUUGAUGAACAAAACUGAAAAUUGCAAAUCAAUCAGGCUUAACAAGGCAACAAUCUUGAGAUUGAAACAUCAAAAUUAUGAACCGGAACCUCAAAUUGACAUCGGAGAGCUCGAAACCCAAAUCAACCUUAGAUAAACUAGAACCUCCAAACAUUUGACAAAGCAGACCAUCCCUUAAUAUUUGUGCUCUUUAAAAUGUUUACCACCGCCGAAAACUUUGUGAACAGGAUGUUCCCUAAAACAAAAGCCGACAAACUUUAGACUUAAACCACGACGUUACGGGAGGAGAUGAUGUUGUUUUCUUAUUUUUAUCAGAAUCAAAAAAAAGACGAAGAAGAGUGAUAGUUAUUAUUACGGAGAUGAUGUUGUUUCCUACAUUACACUCCUUGUUUUCUUAUCAAUCCUGCCAUUUUUAGUGUAGCUCCUAGGUCUAGGUAUUGAAAACUUAGGGUAAGGUUUCUAUAAUUGGAUAUUUUAUAUGGAGGUGGGAAGGGAUGAUGGCCACUAGAUUAGAAGGAAAUACAUAGCUAGGAUUAAAUCUUGCACUUAAGUGGGCUAAUGGGUUGGAAAGAAUGGGCUAAGGGUAAUUGGGUUGGACCAUGUCAUUUGGGUUAAAACUUAGGCUAAAAAGACCAAAUAAUAUAAUGUAUCUAUAAAAAUGUAAAAAUCACUCUAAAUUAAAAUAAACUAAUAUAAAACUAAAUACUACGAGUGAAACUAAUUUUUUGUAUUUUCAAAUGUUAUAAUACUAUAAAUAUAAAUAUACUAAUUGACUUUAACCUAAAGAUGAAAAUAUUUAUUUUAUUUUUUGUAAUUUUUAUUUUUUUGUGAUAAAAUAAAGUAAAAGAGUCAAAACUAUUUAAAAUAACGAUAUUAAACCUAAACUAAAUAUUUUACGCUAAAAUGUGUAAAAUCUUGGGGAUGGUCAAAAAUUACAUGUCUACAGCUGCCCUUCUUUGACUGGAAACGCGAAGAGUUUUCAGGCAAAGAACGACGAGACAGGUUUUUCGACCCGACCCUUAUUUAGAGCGACCAAAAACUAAGAGAAAGGAGAAUGUGACCAAGCCCUGGUAUCUGAGCUGCCUACAUAUCCUUGGCUAUAAAGGAAUCAGGCCACGUGUAGUUCGGAAUUAGGAAGAGUGAUGGAGUAUACCGAGGUGGAGAGCCGAUUGAGGUGUCGUCGAGGUUCCGGUCCGCGGUAUCGUUAUUACACCAAAAUCAAAAAUGAAAAGACUAACUAAGCUUAUCAGCUACGAGUUACAAGAUUACUAUCUAUGAGUCUUCUGAAGUUUGAUCUUCAGUCUUGGUUGGUCCUUCAUGCGGACUCUGAUCUGAAUCUUAAUGCUUGUUAGCUGCAGGUGCUGGUUCUUUCCUUUUUCAACUUCUCAGAUCAAGGCGAGACAUGCAAAGCUUGUGAUUUCAAUCACGUCUUGAGCGGUCCACAUCUUUUCUCCGCUUCUGCACUUUAAGUUCACUUCUUUUUCUUUUUUUUCUUUUUUCCUUAUUCGGGAUUGAGACUCAUUCUUUUGGUCGUCUCGAACCUUGUGCCUUGAGGUAAAACCUGAUCAGACACCAAAACAAGCAAACGAACGAAUGAAAUUUUUUUGCCCCAGUUUUCACUAGGAAAAUUCGUGAGUUAUUUUAAUAAAAUUCUAAACUACUUCUUUAUUGAAAGCAAUAAAAGGUCGGGAUUGUGUAUCCUUGGGAAAAAGAGAUUAGGGAGUGGAGUCCCUAUAUCUAAAAUGAAAUCAACUAGGGAUUGGAGACCCUAAGUUGGAAAGAUUACCAGGUUAUGUUGGCAUCAACUAAGGAGUGGGACCCUAUGUUGGAAAAGAUUACCAAGUUAUGCUGGCAUCAACUAGGGAGUGGGACCUAUGUUGGAAAAGAUUACCAGGCUAUGCUGGCAUCAACUACUGAAUUGGACCCUAUUUUGGAAGAGAAAACUAGGGAGUGGAGACCCUAUGUCUAAACCGAACCAAGAAGGAUUUUUGUGUUUUUUUUUUUGGAAGAAAAUCAUUUUUUUGUGUUUGAGAAAAUCAUUAUUUUAAACAAAUUGCUCAAACGCUUUUUUUAAGAAAUUAUUAUCCUAGGAGAAAAUUCACCAGGCUAGGUUUCUUUUUUUUUGUAUCUUAGGAGAAAGAUUCAUCAGACUAAGAUUCUUUUUUUUGGUAUCUUAGGAGAAAGAUUCAUCAGACUAAGAUGUAUAUCCUAGGAGAAAAUUCAUCAGACUAGGUUUUCUAUCUUAGGAGAAAUAUUCAUUAGACUAAGAUUUCGAUCCGAGGAGAAAAGUUCAUCAGACUAGGUCUUUUUUUGGUAUCUUAGGAGAAAGAUUCAUCAAACUAAGAUUUCUAUCCUAGGAGAAAAUUCGUCAGACUAGAUUUUCUAUCUUAGGAAAAAGAUUGAUCAGACGAAGAUUUUGAUCCUAGGAAAAAGUUCAUCAGACUAGGUCUUCUAUCUCAGGAGAAAGAUCCAUCAGCCUAAGAUUUUGAUCCUAGGAGAAAAUUCAUCAAACUAGGUCCUUUUUUGUUAUCUUAGGAGAAAGAUUUAUCAGACUAAGUUUUGUUUUGUUAUCUUAGGAGAAAGAUUCAUCAAACUAAGAUUUUUAUACUAGGAGAAAGAUUCAUCAGACUAAGUUUUCUUAUCUUAGGAGAAAAGAUUCAUCAGACUAAGAUUUUGAUCUUAGAAGAAAGUUCAUCAAACUAGGUUUUCUAUCUUAGUAGAAAGAUUCAUCAGACUAAGAUUUUUAUUGGGAGGAAAAUCCAUCUGACUAGGACUUUUUAUCCUAGGAGGAAAAAUAUGGAGAUCAAUGGCAAGGUUUUGUGCACAAUGGCAAGGUUUUGUGCACAAUAGCAAGACAAAUAAAGGCGAAUAUUUGAGGAACUUCCCUUUGUCGGCUCUUCUCUUCUUUUCUUUUUCUUCUCUUUUUUUUUUGUUUUUUUUUCUUUUUUUUGAACCACUUUCCUUGAACUGCCUUGUUCCUGUUUCACACAAAGAAAAAUUUGUCAGUUUUGAAAAUGGUGGUCAGUUUGUAGCCUUGAGUCUUGGGCAACUUGGCUUCUUCUCAAUCAGCUUGAGUCGGUUUCAAGAAACUUUUGCUCUACAUAAACCCUAAUUAUUUCACACCCAGUACCAUUUAUAUUUGUGGCUCAAUCAGCCUUAUCCCAACUGGAGAUCUUUUCUUAGAUGACCUUUUCUGAUAUCUUGAGUGACUUCCUGCUUUUGAGCAAUUUGUCUGUCAGAGAGAAUCACAAGUUAUCUUUGCUUGCGCCAAGUAGGUUGACAAGAGUCUUUUGGGGGAGCUUUUGCAUGAAUCCUAAAGGCAUGUUACAAGUAGGAACUGAGUAUGCUGGCCAAAUUUACUUUGUGCAACUAAAAAGCUGGUAGCAGAUUUUGAAAUCUUUUUUUGCUUGUUUUGACAGGACUAACUUAGAGUGAAGGACACAAUAAUGCAAAGAAACAAGUAUUAACAAGAAGUGCCCCUGUUGGAAGGACGGAAGGAAGAGUUUUUUUUCAAUAACUAGCCUUAAUGAUCAUGACAUGCAUUUUGGACUUGAUAGUCAAUCUAUCAAACUAACCAAAUCUUUUCUUUUACCAUUCUUAUGACCUUUGAAGUCGGGCUUGUUCGUGAUGAUCCUUUGCAUCGGCUUCAUGACUCACUUUCGACAAGUGUUGGCCCAAGGUGUUUUCACGAACCAGUCUCUCUCAUUUAUUCAUCUCUGCUUACCGUCGUCUUACAGUGCCCAUGAGGGUUUUUAAUAGUAAGACUCUCUCAUUUUUCUUCUUUAUUUUUCUUUUUCUUUUGCUUUCUUGUGCGAGCAUCUUGACAGUGUUCUAUGUCGUGUGAAAACUAUUGUUCAUUGCAUGCGUCUCUUGGCAUUCUUGAAGGCUGAAUAGGAGGUCUUUAUUUGGAAGGUUUUUGGAUAGGGUUGGAAAGAAAUGACGUCAUGAAAUUUUAAAAUAGACUCAAAGUAAAGGGUUGUAGAUUUACAACUCUUGGAAUCGACUCUUUCAAAAGUGAAAUAAAAUCUUUUCCCCAGUUUCAGCUAUUGGGAUUUUUUUUUUUUGGAAUUCUUAUUUGGUUGGACCAAACCGUGAGGUUGCCUACGUAUCCUUUAUUAAGGAAUCAGGUCGAACGUAGUUCAAACAUCUGACCUAACUAUUUUUCAUCUUUGUUUCUGUUUCGUUUUUUUUCUUUUUCUAUUUUUUACUUUUCGUUUUCAAAACAAGUUGCCCCAAUUUCUAUUUUCUGGGCGCAUGGACCAUUGACAGUUCUUUUCUUCUUCAUCUUUUUUCACUUGAAAUUUCUAUGAAUUGCCCCAGUUUGUACUCUUGAGACAUUGAAUUUUUUUAUUUUUCUUUUUUUUUCAUUUUUUGUUUUUUUAAUCUUCAUUCUAUACUUGAUUCCAAAAGAGGGUGGUCAAAGAAAAUAACACAAGUUCAAAAGGGGUAACAAAGGGUAUAAAGUGUUUGGAUAGCAAAAAGGGCCUCCCAGCCUCGAGAACGUCAAUUAUAGUAUCUUUUCGCGAUCACAUCAUUGAUGAACAUGCUUGUCUUCUUGGGUCUUUUUUAGUAUAAAGCUGUAUGAGCAAUACUUUCCUCGCUGUGAAUGACCCUUGUCAAUUUGGGUGACUUUCCUUGGAUUUUGUCUUGAUUUAGAAGAUGUAUUUUGCAAUUUUCAUGUUGUCUGGAAUACACCUUCUAUUGAAAACACUUUCUAUCUCUUAGUGCUAAACAAACUUCAACCCAUCCCAUUAUCCUUAAGCCCGAUCUUCUCAAAUGACUCAAAAGGUAGAGAUCCUUAACUUCCAUGAGCAUGACUAUUUUGGUUCCAUAUAAAAUUGGCUCAUGCUUAUUGUUUAAAUGUUUUAUGUCUCUAUUCAUCUUCGAAAAUGUCUCUUUCUCACUUAUCCAAUUCAAGACUAAAUCAGUUUUCUAAGAUCUGGCCAAAAUUCCGCAUGCAUGUCAUGUCAUUAGAACUAGCAUGAAAAGAACUAUGCACAAAAUGGCUAACUACUUUUGUUUAAUUGAAUAAAGGAUAGAAAGGUCCAAUAGCACAAAAAGAAGAAGAAAAGAUGACAAAAUAAGCUACCAUGACUGAAGGAGGAGUGACUUUCUAGUUACUAAGCGAUAUCUUAGCCACACAUUCGCACAUCAGCACUACUAUGGCAUUUGACCAUUUUGAUUUCUUUGGAUUCAACACUCAAAUUUUGACAAUCAUCCCGAGCAGCCCAUGUCUUAUUGCUCAAAUCUGGUAAAGUCAACCUCACAUUUGCCUCCAUUAAAUUUUUUGCCGCCAAAUUGCCUACUUGCCCUCUCGUGAUCUUGGAUCAACAACAAUGGUGCUUGUUCCAUUGGUUGAGAAGAUGUUUUUAUUUUUGAAAGAUCUUGGAUUGUUUUUGUGACUCGCCAUUGCAAACCAACUACCUUUGACUAGCUUUUAUUUCAAAACAACAGGCAUGUUAGAAUAAACACUCUCUUUCUUUUCUCUUUUUUUUUGUUUUUAACCAUUCGAUCGAACUUGAUGUGGGUUGCCUACGUAUCAUGACGCCGCAUUAAUCAGAUCUUUGCAUAGUUCGAGAAGAUCAGGAAUAAAGUAAAUAAACUAACUUUUUUUGGAUUUUGAAUUUUAUUUUACUUUUUCGAAAGAAAGACUUAUAAAGAAGAAAGAGAAUAGUUUUGGAUUUUGAUUUUUCUUCAGAAUGUUUGCAAAGAAAGACUUCUAAAGAAGAAAGAUUUUUUUUUUUGAAUUUAUGAAAGAAAUACUUCUAAAAAAAGAAAAUAUUUUUGAAUCUUGAAUUUUCUUUUCAAUUUUUGAAGAACAAAAAAAAAAUUGGAUUUUGAGAAGAAACUAAAAGAAAAUAUUUUUCUAUAUUUUAUUUUUUUAAAAAAAAUUGGGGUCUAAAAGAAAGAAUUUCUAAGGAAGCAAGUAAUGGAAAAUAUUUUUGGAUUUUUUUUUAAAAGAAAUUGUGGUCCCAAAGAAUGACUUUUCUAAAGUAAAGGAAAAUAUUUUUGAAGUUUUUUUUAAAAUGUGGGCCGGAACCGAUGAGGUUUGCCUACGUAUCUCAAAUUCGGUAAGAAACAGACCCGCGUAGUUCGGCCGUUUUGACAUAAUUGAAAAAACAUGAUGUUGACUCACUUUCAUUUUUUUGAAAUACAUUUUGUGUUUCUCUUUUUUUCAAAAUUUUGGCAGAAUUUCGAGGCAUUUUAAAUGUGAUGACCCAAAAGAUCAUCACUUGUGUUGCAAUAAAAUUCUACAUUCCGAGGACUUAAAAAACCUCCCUAAGCACCACCUCGAUUUGCGUGCAUCGUCCGGACGCAUAGCCUGAAAGCUUAAAUGUGAAAAUCUGUGAAAAAUGAUAAGUUUUGACGGUAAAAUGAAUAAAUUUGACUUCAAUCAAUAUUUUGGGUAAACGGACCCGGACCCGUGAUUUGACGGUCCUGGAGGGUCCGUAGGAAAAUAUGGGACUUGAGCGUAUGCCUGGAAUCGGAUUCCGAGGUCCCAAUCCCGAGAAACGAAUUUUUUAAAGAAAAUUAUUUUCUAAAAUUGUUUAAAGAAAUUUGAAAUGAAAUUUGUUUAGAACAUGGUGGUAUCGGGCCCUUAUUUUGGUUCAGGCAUCCGGUACUGGUCUUAUAUAUGAUUUAAGACAUUUCUGUGAAAUUUGGUGAAAAACGGAUGUCAUAUGACUGUAUUCGGACUUAAAUCGCAAAAUUUAUGUUUAACGAAGUUUUGAGAAAAUUUCAUUGAUCUCGAGAUUUAAUGUGAUGUUCAUGAUGUUAUUUUGAUUAUUUGAUUACACGAAUAAGUCCGUAGGAUGUUUUUGAGGUUUUGUGUGCGCUUGGUAUGGAGUUCCAAGGGCUCGGGUGAGUUUUGGGUAGGUUUCGGGGGGUCUAAGGCUUAAAAACUGAGCUUUUGCAGGCUCAGAGUGGUAGAGGACCUCUGAACAGGCAUGCGGUCUGCACGAUAUGGACUGUUGCCACGGAGAAGCCUGUGCGGCCGCACUAGUUUUGGUGCGGUCCGCGAUGAAGAACAAUUUACUGGUCCAACUUCGGAAGUCUAUAUCUUUUUAUCUACAGAGAAUUGUGAGAUAUUUCAAAAACAAAAGUUGUAGCUCUUCGUGUCUAGUUUCCAGAAAUGCAAAGAAUUCACAAUUUGGACAUCUUUAGAGAAAGUUAUGGCCGAAAUACGUAGACCUGUCACUGCAGAACACAGGAAGCCUGUGUGGCCGCAGUUGAUUUUGUGCGGUCCGCACACGACAUCUGAGGGCAGUAUAUUUAGACGGGAUUUUCAGUUAUUUUUCAUUUUUUAAGACCCCAAAAACAUAAGAGGCGAUUUUUCAAACAACCUUUCUUCUCCAAAGCAAUUGUAAGAAGUUUUUAACUAGUUUUCUUCAAUCAUUAACAUCUUUUAACAUGAUUUCAACUUCAAAUCAAUGAUUUUCAUUGGGGAAAUUAGGUGUUUUGGUAGAACCUAGGUUUUUCAAAAAUUGGGUAUUUCGACCUCGAUUUGAGGUCCGAUUUCAAAACAAAUACAUAUUUGAGCUCGUGGGGGAAUGGGUAAUCGGGUUUGGUUUAAACCUCGAUUUUGACCACGUGGGCCUGAGGGUGAUUUUGACUUUUUGGGGUAAAACUUUAGAAAACUCAUUUUCAUGCAUUCAAAUUGAUUCAUUUAAUGUUUAUUGAUGUAAUUAAGUAACUUGUAGCUAGAUACGAGCGAAUUGACGGAGGAAUCAAGGGGUAAAGCUAUAAUUGAAACUUGAGUUGUGUUCGAGGCAUCGAGGUAAGUGUUUAGUCUAACCUUAGCUUGAGGGAUUAGGAGUUAUGUCAUAUUUGCUAAUUGCUUCUUGUUGAGUACGACGUAUAGGCAUGGUGACGAGUAUCUAUACGUUGGUGACAAGCAUGACCGUGGGUCUUAUUUUGUGAUUUUCAUGACUUCGUUGUAUUAUUCAUGCCAUGGUGAAGAUUUCUAUUUGUUGUGUAAAGUUGUGGAAAGAAUUGUGACCUAUGAACAUUGAGGAGCGUUGGCUCCAGUAGUAUAACGAAUUGUGAAAUUAUAAGUGAUAAUUGAAACUCUAGAGUAUUGGUUCGAGUUGUGAAGUGAAUUGUGAAGUAAAAGUGAGAAGGAGAAGAGAUCAUUAUGUUUCCCCCUUACUGGGCUAUUUUUGAGUUGUGGUUCCCUUGCAUUGUGUUCUUAAUUGAUAUUACGAAUGCAUAGGUUGAUUCUUUGGGUUAGGUGUUGUAACAAGUUUAGUUAUAGCUGAGGUAGUUAGGUGUCGUAACAAGUUUGGUUAUAGCUGAGGUAGUUAGAUGUUGUAACACGUUUGGCUAUAGCAGAGGUAGUUAGAUGUUGUAACAAGUUUGGCUAUAGCAGAGGUAGUUAGAUGUUGUAACAAGUUUGGCUAUAGCUGAGGUAGUUAGAUGUUGUAACAAGUUUGGUUAUAGCUAAGGUAGUUAGAUGUUGUAACAAGUUCGGUUAUAGUUGUUUCUCCCUUGCCGGGAUAUUGUGAGAUAUCAUUGUUUUCUUACCGGGAUGUUUGUUGAUAUUAUUGUUCCCUUGCCGGAAUUCCUUGUGAUUAUUGUUGGCUUGUAAUUGGGAGCGGGUGGUACGCCUACCACAAGAUACAAUGAAAUGUGAGCGGGUGGUACGCCUACCACAAGAUACAAUGAAAUGGGAGCGGGUGGUACGCCUACCACAAGAUACAAUGAAAUGGGAGCGGGUGGUACGCCUACCACAAGAUAUAAUGAAAUGGGAGUGGGUAGUACGCCUACCACAAGAUACAAUGAAAUGGGAGCGGGUUGCACGCCUGCCACGAGAUACAUGAAAUGGGAGCGGGUGGCAUGCCUGCCACAAGAUAUGAGAAAUGGGAUCGGGUUGCACGCCUGCAACAAGAUGUGAAAAGAAAGUGAAAUCUGCCUUUGUUUUUCUUUAAUCUUGUUAGUGGUUGGAUUCCUUUAUAUUCUAUUGAUAUUCUGUUUUUACUUGUUUUUCCCCGAAGUAUGUUCCCCCCUCCCUAGUUUUAAUUGUUUAUUUUCGUAUUUCUUUUCCGCUAUAUAUAUUUGAACUUCAUAGGUUUAUUUGGUAGUUUGGUCCUGGCCUCAUCACUACUUCGUUGAGGUUAGGCUAGGCACUUACCAGCACAUGGGGUCGGUUGUGCUGAUAAUACACUCUGCACUCUUUUGUGCAGACCCCAGUGUUGUGGACUUCGGACCGUGGUGAGAUUGUUGAUUCUUGAUCAUCAGGCGACCCGAGGUAGUCCUGCAGGCAUCCGCGGGCCUUGGCGUCCCCUUCUAUCUACUAUUCCUAUUUUUUUCAUGCAUUUCUAGAGACAGUGUUGUAUUUAUUUCUUUCAGAACCUUUAUUUGUAGUAUUCUUAGACCGUCUGUGAAACUGUGACACCAAUUCUGGGUGAUUAAGGUUUAAGCUGUUGUAAUAGAUAUAUGUUCAGAUAUUCUAUUGUUUUCUUCCACUUAUUCUGAAUUUCCGUUGUUUACCCGUUAUUGUUUUAUAUAAUGUUAAAGAGAAUAGAAAUUGGUAAAAAGGUAAAUUGUCUAAUAAUUGGCUUGCCUAGCUAACAUUAGUAGGCGCCAUCACAACUCCCGAGGGUGAAAAAUUUGGGUCGUGACAUUAAAUACUGGGUUUUCAGAACCGGGUGAAUUCUCUAUCCUACCUCACUCUUGGUUUUUCUGUUGUUUUUCUUUUGUUAGCCGGUCAAUAUAUAAACCGAAAAGAAUAAAUGUACACAUAGCAUGUAAGAUACAUCAGGAUGGUCUGGUCUUUUGGGUACACCUGUCCUAGACGGACCCAACCCCUGUGUUGAGUCCCCAAAGUUAAAUGCACGUGAUGCAAACAAACGCUCCUACUAGGGAUCCGGCAUGAGGUUAUGUUAUUCUAGGUUUAAACCUUGGGUUGUGUUCUUGAUCAGGCUUACCCGAGCGGACAACUCGAGCCGAAGAGUGGGCAAACGUACCGGGAGCACGAAAGUCUACCCGGCCUUGUUGCUGGCCCAGCCUCGUUCUAUUUGGUAUAACUUCUAACAGAAAAGUGGGCCACGAACGUGUGCACCAUUUUUUAGAAGACUCAGGUGGGAGGCGUAAGAAAACAAUUUAAUAUAAUUCAAAUAAUAUCAAAGCGGUAAAUAAGCGGCAAUAAGCACAUUAGGUCCACAAAUACAGUAAUAUCAACAAAUAAUAAAGCCAAGCAUAGAUCAUAUUAACAAGCUCGAAUUCUGAACCCUGAACCAAAGAUCAUGGGUUCUUUUCCCCAGCAGAGUCGCUAGAGCUGUCACACCUCCUUUUUACACCCAAGAGGGGAUAUAAGGGAGUUUUUCAAAUUAAAGUGAUAUUAUUCGAAAUUGGAUUAUUUAUUUAAUUUUCAGAGUCUCCACUUGGAAUAAUUUAUGGUGUCCCAAGUCACCGGUUUAUUUUAAAGACCAAAUCGAGGAAAUUUCGACUUUAUUUUAAAAGUCUGCGAACCAGAAAUUCUACGUAAGGAAUUUUGUUAACCCGGGAGAAGGUGUUAGGCAUUCCCGGGUUCCGUGGUUCUAGCACGGUCGCUUAGUGAUUUGUACUUAGCUUAAGUCGUUUAACUACUCAUUUUUAGGACUUAUGUGCAUUUAUCUUUUUACCGCUUUUAAUCACUUGAUUUGUUCGUAAUGAAAGAAUUGAGUUAUGCGUACGUAUACUCAUUUCCUUUGGCGCGUCAAAAAUCAUGUCAUGCGUACGUGUCCAUAAUUAAUCACGCUUUAUUAAUUAAUAAGAAAACUUGGUUGAAGUUGCGCGAACGCAUCCCUCGAUUUAUUUUUUAGAAUUAAAUUCGUAAUUCUGUUAUGCGAACGUAUAUAUAAUCACAAUAAUAGUCUAAGCCAUGCCUAAAGCAAACUAACAGUGUUCAUUAUUCUUCCUAAAAUUUGAGAUUAUUGUGAGGCUUAAGAGUUAUACAUCCUUCUGACUUAGCACCACUCAUGGCAUAUUAUUAUUCCUUGCCAAGAAAGAAAUAACUCCAAAUUUUCCAUCUACCCAAAUUAAAAGCAUUUAUUCGAGAACCAAGACUACGUACAUCACAAUCGAAAUAAAAACUAAUUAAAAUAAUUUAAUUUCAAACUAAGUCAUGCCACUCAAACAAUGUAGAAACAAAAAUCAACCAACACACGCACCAAGCUAUUGUAAGAACAAUGAAAUGAGAAUAAAAAUUGAGAAAUAGGCCUUUUAUUGAUGAACAAAACUAAAUAUUGCAAAUCAAUCAGGCUGAACAAGGCAACAAUCUUGAGAUUGAAACAUCAAAAUUAAGAAUCGGAACCUCAAAUCGACACAGGAGAGCUCGAAACCCAAAUCGACCUCAGAUAAACUAGAACCUCCAAACAUCUGACAAAGCAGACCAUCUCUUAAUAUUUUUGCUCUUUAAAAUGUUUACCACUGCCGAAAACUUUGUGAACAGGAUGUUCCCUACCAAAAAGCCGACGAACUUUAGACUUAAACCACGACGUUACGGGAGGAGAUGACGUUGUUUUCUUAUCGUCAUCAGAAUAAGAAAAAGACGAAGAAGAGUGAUGGUUAUUAUUACUGAGAUAAAGUGUUUCAGUGAUUUUAUUUUUUAUAGAUUCUCUGGCUCAUCCGAUUUCUCCACUUUACACUCCUCGUGUUCCUACAUUAUCAGUAAAGUAAAACCCAAAUCUUGAAAUUCAGUCAAGUUAUGUGUCUAUUGUAUCUGAGAGAAAAAGUUGUAAAGAUUCAUUUUUGUGUGUUUGUAUUUCUUUCACUUUUUAAUUUUUUUGGAACAAAACAAGGAAAAGAUCAUAGAAUAAAGAUGAAAAACCUUAGCAAUCCUGUCGUUUUUAGUGUAGCUCCUAAGUCUAGGUAUUGAAAACUUAGGGUUGGGUUCCUAUAAUUGGGUAUUUUAUAUGGAGGUGGAAAGGGAUGAUGGCAAUUGGAUUAGAAGGGAAUAGAUGGCUAGGAUUAAAUCUUGCACUUAAGUGGGCUAAUGGGUUGGGAAGAAUGGGCUAAGGGUAAUUGGGUUGGACCAUGUCUUUUGGAUUUGAACUUAGGCUAAAAAGACCAAAUAAUACAAUGUAUCUAUAAAAAUGUAAAAAUCACUCUAAAUUAAAAUAAACUAAUAUAAAACUAAACACUACGAGUGAAACUAAUUUUUUGUAUUUUCAAAUGUUAUAAUACUAUAAAUAUAAAUAUACUAAUUGACUUUAACCUAAAGAUGAAAAUAUUUAUUUUAUUUUUUUUNNNNNNNNNNNNNNNNNNNNNNNNNNNNNNNNNNNNNNNNNNNNNNNNNNNNNNNNNNNNNNNNNNNNNNNNNNNNNNNNNNNNNNNNNNNNNNNNNNNNNNNNNNNNNNNNNNNNNNNNNNNNNNNNNNNNNNNNNNNNNNNNNNNNNNNNNNNNNNNNNNNNNNNNNNNNNNNNNNNNNNNNNNGUAAUUUUUAUUUUUUGUGAUAAAAUAAAGUAAAAGAGUCAAAACUAUUUAAUAUAAUGAUAUUAAACCUAAACUAAAUAUUUUACGCUAAAACGUGUAAAAUCUUGGGGAGGGUCAAAAAUUACAUGUCUACAGACUAGGAAUAUUAUCCUUCCAACCAUGUUGUAGCCAAUUCUGAUAGUAUUCAUUCUAGGUCCAAUGACCUCAUCUCAUCCAACACAACCACUCUAAUGACAUGACACAUCAAUACAGUCCAAAGCCAUAACCUGUGCAACUCGUGCACCCAAUAGCAACAUCCCCAAAUGUACUCAAAUCAUGAAAAAAAUGACUCAAACGGGAGGACUAUCCCGCAAGCUUAACAAGUACUGCCACAAUGAAAUACUGUAAAUUCAUCACACCCCGUAGGACCAUCACACGAAUCUAACACAGGUUCAUACCUCAACAUAAUUUUGCUGCAAUGUGUGCCCCAUCCAAACACUAAUCCAUGGCAUAUACCUCAAGCCACCUUGCUCAAAAUCAAUAACCACGCGCAACGACAUCAAGUACUCAAAGUGCAUUACCAUAACCAUGGAGAAGCAAAUGACAUAACACCACAUGAAACCCGAAAGAGCAUAACCAAUAUGCUAUACAUCAAGCGAUAUCCAAUACUCUUCUCGCUCAAAUCCGUUAUAGGACUCCAAUAGAACCACACUAUAUGUGUAUACAACCAACAAAUCAUGACCCCUCAUAAUAUAGAAGAGUAGCUCAUAGAUCACUCCAGAACACGAAUAAGCUCAACAAUAAUCGAAUGGCACAUCCCUCAAUAAUAGCAAUUCAAAGUCAACAAAUCUGACCCGGUACAGAACACACCUCCAUGUUGGGCCUACCAAUGAACCCCAAAUCUACUCUGGUCCCCCACGAUAGAUAAAUAACCCUCUGAAAGUCUAAAUGACUGAAUCACAACAUAUACUAACCUCUGACUAAACUUGGAUACUUUUUACGGUCGACAACCACGAAACAAUCUACUCACCAGAACUCUCAAUCUCUAAAUCCAUAGAAUAUACGAAUCACCAUCUCUGAUCUCAACUCCACCGCCUAAAUGCCCAUACUUCUCCAAUUACACAGUCACCCCACGAGGAAUACUUCUAGAAGUCUUCUAUACCACAAAGCAAAAAUUGAACUCCAGCAGUCGAUCAAACAAGAGAGUGUCGCAAUACCAAUAAAGUAUCCAUAACUCCCACACAUCGCCCUUUCUGAAAUGUAUAAUCUCAUUAAGCCAUACCAGUUAGUAAUAUCAUUUACCUAGUCAUCAGAAAUUGUCCAUGUUGCUUAAGAAUUUAUGACCUUCCUUUCAGAAUUGAACUGUGACCUUACACAUGCAAAUCCCAACCUUACACAACUUACCACAUAUACCAUGUCAUCCCAUGAUAAAUAUGAGAACUUCAUAAUCCACUUCGAGUCACAAGCAACUAAGUACUCAACUAGCCAAGAACUUUUCAUUUGACCCCAUCUAGGAGAAGAUCACUACACAUCACAUGAUCCUCACGCCAGUAGAAGAUAUACCUCUCUAACCAUGGUAGAAACCACCAAGAACUCUCUGAAUCCCAUUUGCUCAAAACCCAACCGUCAGGAUUGAAUCCUUCUACCCCAACCAAGCUACACAUGUCACCAAAACUCAAGCGCAUCACCACGAAACACAUGUAGAAACUCAUUACCUCAUAAACACCCAAAGAACUAAUCAUACCCAUUACCAUGUCAAUCCAACCUACUACCAAGCUAUCCUAUUUAUUCGAGUUCCUUCUGAAUUGCAUUCACAUUGAUACUUCUCCUCACCAUAAUACCUCAAUCCUCAAUCCAGACUCACCACAUGAGACCCUAACAUAAACCACACUGCCCUAAGGCUCAUAAGCCGCUGAAUGCUCUCUUAAGCACCCCAAAAGUACCACAAUCGAGAUACUCACUCCAAAGAGACCUUCUAUGAAUUUCAAGUUGUUCAUCUUACUUUCUUGAUACUGAAAUGUAUAAUCCACAAUGAUGUAGAAACACUGCGAGCCUCGACACUAUCCAAUGUAACUCUUAGCUUCAAGCCACAUACGAACCCCCAAAAAUUCUCAAUUGCCAUAUAUAAAUAUUGAAUUCAUUAGAACCAUUCUCGAGAGUUAUCCACUCUGCUUAAAUCUUGAUUAGACAGAUCAAAUGGGCUAAUCGACCUUAGCCCCAUUAGCACUCCAACACCCAAGGAUGUAACCCCACCUAAAUGCAACCAGAUAAAUUUCUGCUCCACGAACAUUAUAUCCUUAACCAAUAAGAACUCAAAUCAUUCCAUGAUUCUCAUAUACUCAUAUAAUCUAAUAAAACUCAUACCCAGAAAUUUCCUUUACUCGAGUCAUCCUUGAUCUCAACCUCUGCAAGUCAUAACUGAUUCACCAGUAUACCUCAAACUGAAACUAAUAUGACACUUAGUCGUGCAAUCAACUUAUCAAUAGUAGACUCCCCCCUUGGAUAAAAGCCAUAGAUCAAAACACACAAAAACUCACAAUGUCCAUACUCUAUUACUUCCAUAAUACCAUAGUGAGAUUGAACUAAAUCCUUCAUAAGCUUGUUCAACACAACCAUCUAGUACUUCAAUCAUCUACAAAUCUCGCAUUUACCCUCGUAAUAGUCAAGACAACUCUCAUACGCGAUCCAAACUCAAUCUGCAGCAUAUAUAAUUCACUGGUAAAGGAAGACUCGCUACAAAAGAGCAUAGGGAUCACACGCCCUCAGGACACCCUACAGGAGAUAACCCACCUACUUUGCCUCAAACUAACAUCUCUUUAUACCUUUCCACCAUCAUAAACAUCACGCAAUCACUUAAUAUUCCUGAGUCUGAACUCAUAUCAUGACAUAAAAUCUACUUCGUUCCCCAACUAAACAAUAUGAAAAGAUCCUUCAACACACCCAUAACUCGGGGCUAUUCAUCAAAUCAAGAUGGAAAUCAAGAACCAAAUAGUUCUUUCUACCCUCAAGAAGACCCUCCUCAUCACAUCCAAAUCAUAUGAACAUAUCUCGCAGUCACAUCAUACUCAUCACGUAGCCAUCCAGUCAUUACUUCCACUAAUAUGGACACUACCGAACAUAUAAAUCCAAAAGCACGCUCUCACACAAUCAACACCUUAGUGCUCAAGCUAGAGGCAAAGCCCGGACCCAAGUCAUCCAGACUGGCCCAACAUCAACACACAAAAAUCACAUCUCGCCUCUCAUUUAGGGAAUCACAAGCCGUCGAUGCACAGCUGAUACCAAGUGCUCAUGCGCGCAUAUGAAUGCGUGGAAGGAAUUUCAAGAGUUACAUUUCAAGAUGAAUCAAUGCCGCACGACAAGAAUUUCAAGAAUGUGGGAUUUCCUAAAGGUUUUGCAGCCUCUCAAAGAUAGGUACAGACGUCUUUGUACCAAUCCGUGAGACUCUACUAAACCUUUCAUGACUCGUGAGACCUAUGUAACCUAGGCUCUGAUACUAACUUGUCACGAACUAAAACUAACCCUAUCGUGAUGGCGCCUAAAGUGGUACUAGGCAAGCCGAUACACUACCAAACCCAAUCACUAUUUUUAUUUUUAAGACAAAACCAAAGUUAUUUAACAAUAAACCAGCAUAAGGAGCUUAAAUCAAAACAACAGUGCGGAAAAAAAGCCCGACAUCAGGGUAUCACUAGUCAUGAGCAUUUACUACAACCGUCUGACAACAUCAAGACUAACAUAGCCUAAAAAUAACUGAAUACAACUAAGGGAGGAUAAAGAGGGAGAAAAGUAGGGCUGGGAUUGUCAGGCAGCUACCUUACUAACUCUGAUGGACCGUCCAUUGAUUAAUCAACACCCGCUAUCGGGUUUAGAAAUACCCGGAUCUACACACAAUGUGCCGGGAGUAAUGUGAGUACAUCAACUCACUAAGUAAUAAAAGUAAAUAGAGACUGAGCAGUAAAACCAUUUAAAACAUCUUUCAACAGUCUUCAAUGAAGUGAUGAAACAGUGAGUAAAAAUGGUGAAAACAUAUACAGCCCCUUAGGCAAAACUCACUCGUAUAUAGCCCCUCGGCAAACAUCACUCGUGAACAUCCCCUCGGGCAAACAUGAAUCAUAAACAGCCUCUCGGGCAAACCUCACAAUCACUCAUAUACAGACCCUCGGGCAUUACUUCAUAUCACUCGUAAACAGCCCCUCGGGCACAAUAUGAAUCAAGAACAGCCCCUGGGGCAAAACAUCGUAUCACUCACUCAGGGUACCCAUGCUCACUAGGGCUGUACAGACUCCGGAGGGGCUCCUACAACCCAAGCACUAUAACAAGUGACCUCGUGGAAUAAAUCAAUCAGGCCCUCCUUUUUAUCACUCGAGGGGUAUAUAAGAGAGUUUUUCCAAUUAAAGUGACAUAAAUCGAAAUGGAAUUAUUUUAUUUAUUUAUCAGAGUCUCCACUUAGAAUAAUUUAUUUGGUGUCCCAAGUCACCGGUUUAUUUUAAAUCCUAAGUCGAGGAGAAUUUGGACUUUAUUUAAAAUCUGCAAAACCAGAAAUUCUAGAUAAGGAAUUCUGUUAACAUGGAGAAAGUGUUAGGCAUUUUCGAGUUUCAUAGUUCGAGCACGGUCGCUUAACUAUUAAUAAUUGGCAUAUUAUCUAAUUUAUUACAUGUUUUAAACCUAGUGUGCAUUUUUAAAUUUAUUUAUUUAAAUCGCUUUUUAGGAUAUAUGGAAUUUAUUUUUUUGAACAAGUUACGAUUAUCGUACACUUGUCAUUUUGGAACAUACCGCAAAACACGCCACAUGAAAUGCACCCGUGAUUCGCGAUAUGUUUAUUUUAUUAUUGUUCAAAGUUGUUAUGAUCGGGUCACAUGAAGUGCACACCUGAAUUUGGGUUAGGUAUCAUGACUAUGCCACGGGAAUCGUACCCACAGUCACGAUGAUUUAUUAAUCGCGCCUAAAGCAAGCUACGAUGUAUUUAUUUGGUCCUAAAUUGAAUAUGUAGUUUAUUUGGUCCUCGAGUUGUCUUAUAUUUUAGAAUUUAUUAGUAGUUGGAUAAGGAACUCAUUUAGCCUUUGACUUUUUAACCUGAAGCUAUCUUUGGCUUUUCUGCAUUGUGUUCCACCAAAUGGUUGAUUGAAGUCAAGCGCAAGAGCCAAAUGUAUUUGCAUUUUCAAAUAAUAUCAAAACACAUCCAAGGAAAGGAAGUAAGGAAUAAAAAGGGAAACUAUGCCAUGUUCAUUAUAAAGGGUUAUGUGUACAGAUUUACCAACCCUAAGUAUCUCACAGAAUGAAGCUAAAGGCAAAAAAAACACAGUAUCUUAUAAUCGAGGGAAAUCGCAGAAAAACAAAGCGAACACUUGACGAGCUGUGAAAGUAUAUCAUACACAUAUGUCAUCAAACACAGGAAUAAAAAGCAAAUCCAUCUAAUUAGCUUUCAUCAAACACAGAAAUAACCAAAACAUGCAGCAAAUUUAAAAUAAAAAGUAGCAGACCGGUACUUGGGCAGAACGAACAAAAUAGCUUAUCAUAGCUAAAGCACAUGUCAUAGGUAUAAAUUAUAUAUACUGUUUUUCAACAAACAAACAACCACAUUAAGACCACAUCCUUAGGAAUUGAUUAAGUGCUACUGAUUACUAACAACAUGAGGACAUUGAACAGGGUGAUUUCAAACCAUUAUAUGCCUAUUUGUAUUAAUUUGUUACCGUUUGAAAUAAGAUCUCAAAACACAAACAAAUCGUAUAGCAUUAUUAGGAAAGGAUAAUUGCAUAGAUACAACAAUAAUCAGAAAUUCAUUGAAGACAAAAGGAAUUCAUUCAUUUUUUGACUUAACGGUGGCGUAAAUCACAACAAAGUACCUGCGUGUGUAGAUAUCACCUCCAAAACUCCAACUAAAGGCUAGAUGAGAAAUGAGCUUAGCACAGCGGAAAACCAAUAGAUCCGAACAAGGAGCAACAGCAAAUUUUCAACCAUAGUAGCAUUUUAAAACCCAGAAAAAUAGAAACAAACAGUAGCGGUUUGUUCCAGCCUUGGAGCUCGUCAGCGAGGGAAGCUCAGGCACAAGAGGGAUUUAUAGGAGGAGAAAUUGAAGUGUUGAUGGCUGUUUUUGGGACUUUUUGGUAUAGGAAUUUCAGUUGGGUUUUCAGAGCUUUUACAUGGGUUUGGGGCUGAUUUGAGCUCGAGUAUUAGAGCUGAAAAUGGUGGUGUUCGUGGUGUUCUAAGAGAGGUCCAUGGCUGAAAUUUUGGGCUAAUCCCAUCCCCCUUUCGUUUUUCUUUUCCCGGAUCCCCUCUCUCACUGUAUCGUCCUACCUUCCUCUCUAUCUAUGUGUGUCUUUUUUCAAUUGAAAGAAAGAAGCCAUCUCAAAUCAGAAGGGGAAAGAGGCUGAGGUACUACCGCUAGAAGCUAAUCUCAGAGGAAAGGAUUUGUUGUCUUUGCUCUCUGUUAGAAGUGAGGAAGAAGAAGAUGGGUGAGCUAUUUUGGAAGAUGAUGAGGGAAUGCAGAAGAAGGGGAAAAGCUGCGCUGUUUUGGGUGUUAGGGAUCUCCUCAAAUAAGGUCUAUUAAUGUGUGUUAGGUCUGGGGAUUUAAGGGUAAAAAUGGGGAACGGGAAGAUUGGGCUGGGGUUUAAAAGUUAAUUUGAGUCAUAUUUGGAAUUGGCCCAAUUUUAAAAGAAACAAGACCAAAAAUAUAUUCUUUCUAUUUUUAUUUUCUUUGUUUUUUUUUUCCUUUUUC
rnacentral:lncRNA from 1 species